UACGGGGGGGGCAAGCGUUGUUCGGAAUUACUGGGCGUAAAGGGCUCGUAGGCGGCCUACUAAGUCGGACGUGAAAUCCCUCAGCUUAACUGGGGAACUGCGUCCGAUACUGGAUGGCUUGGAUUUGGGAGAGGGAUGCGGAAUUCCAGGUGUAGCGGUGAAAUGCGUAGAUAUCUGGAGGAACACCAAUGGCGAAGGCAGCUCGCUGGAACGGUACUGACGCUGAGGCGCGAAAGCGUGGGGAGCAAACAGG
rnacentral:rRNA from 1 species